rnacentral:rRNA from 1 species
CUUGUUGGUGAGGUAACGGCUCACCAAGGCGACGAUCCGUAGCUGGUCUGAGAGGACGAUCAGCCACACUGGGACUGAGACACGGCCCAGACUCCUACGGGAGGCAGCAGUGGGGAAUCUUGCGCAAUGGGCGAAAGCCUGACGCAGCGACGCCGCGUGAGGGAAGAAGGCCUUCGGGUUGUAAACCUCUUUCAGGAGGGACGAAGCUACUCGGGUUAAUAGCCCAGAGGGUGACGGUACCUCCAGAAGAAGCCCCGGCUAACUACGUGCCAGCAGCCGCGGUAAUACGUAGGGGGCAAGCGUUGUCCGGAAUCAUUGGGCGUAAAGAGCGUGUAGGCGGCCAGAAAAGUCCGCUGUGAAAACUCGAGGCUCAACUUCGAGCUGUCGGUGGAAACUUUCUGGCUAGAGUCCGGAAGAGGAGAAUGGAAUUCCUGGUGUAGCGGUGAAAUGCGCAGAUAUCAGGAAGAACACCCGUGGCGAAGGCGGUUCUCUGGGACGGUACUGACGCUGAGACGCGAAAGCGUGGGGAGCGAACAGGAUUAGAUACCCUGGUAGUCCACGCCGUAAACGAUGGGAACUAGGUGUGGGGGGUGUCGACUCCCUCCGUGCCGAAGCUAACGCAUUAAGUUCCCCGCCUGGGGAGUACGGCCGCAAGGCUAAAACUCAAAGGAAUUGACG